UGCCCAAACCCAACUUUACGAUUAAGCGACGCGUGAGCAAAAAAGAGGAGCACGACUUGGAGAUACCCCUGGCCGAGAUGCCGUAUCAGAGGACUUCGAGCUGUCUUCUCAUCAUAUAGCUGGUUCUUAUAGUCCGAUCUUUGAGUACUUUAUAACCAAGCGAAAGUCCCAAGGUUUAAAAGCAAUUUCAGAGAUCGACGAGUUCACACAGACAAGCAGACAUGGGUCGGAGUUGAUUUCUUAUGUCUGUUACAUACGUUUGCACAAAAACUCCAUACCCUUUUUUACCUCAUCUUAUUGCCGUGUCCAGAGUCAAAAAGUUACAAAAAAGCAAGCAAGAAACUGUACAUAGGGAAGAGAUGGCCGCGCCUUGCCACCUGGCACCGAAAAAGAACUGAUAAGUGCACCCACUAACCCUUUGGGCAGCGCCGCUCUCCCCUCUGAGCACGCAAUCCUUGAUGCUUUAAUUCGCACUGCUUUACGUUGCUUCCCUUGUUAGAAAUACAGCAAUGUACAAGAUUUCAUUAAUGCCAAUAGGGUCUGCACUCGACUCGUUACUCGUUACUCGCCAAUCGCCGCUCGCCACUCGCUAAUCGUCUGCCAGGUGAUUCGGACUGAACGGCACGUAUGUAAAUGCUUCAUUGCCCAGCCGCCACACAUGUGUGUAUUUUCUACACUAACUGGCAGCACUGCAAUAAGCUCAGGUACAGUUAUGCACGGUUACGGGCAGUUAAGCCGUCUGGCAACGCAUUGUAAUGUUCAUAUUUUGCAUAUCGUACUUAUGUUUAUACUCUGUUUACAAAGCGAAGUGAGUAUAUUGGAUUGUCGCACAUACUCUUUUAUGUAUGUUUAUAUGAAAAUAUAUCUUUUUGUAAUUUAAGAACUAGA
rnacentral:sRNA from 1 species